GCGGACGGGUGAGUAACACGUGGGUAACCUACCUAUAAGACUGGAAUAACUCCGGGAAACCGGGGCUAAUGCCGGAUAACAUAUCGAACCGCAUGGUUCGAUAGUGAAAGACGGUCUUGCUGUCACUUAUAGAUGGACCCGCGCCGUAUUAGCUAGUUGGUGAGGUAACGGCUCACCAAGGCAACGAUACGUAGCCGACCUGAGAGGGUGAUCGGCCACACUGGAACUGAGACACGGUCCAGACUCCUACGGGAGGCAGCAGUAGGGAAUCUUCCGCAAUGGGCGAAAGCCUGACGGAGCAACGCCGCGUGAGUGAUGAAGGUCUUCGGAUCGUAAAGCUCUGUUGUUAGGGAAGAACAAAUGUGUAAGUAACUAUGCACAUCUUGACGGUACCUAACCAGAAAGCCACGGCUAACUACGUGCCAGCAGCCGCGGUAAUACGUAGGUGGCAAGCGUUAUCCGGAAUUAUUGGGCGUAAAGCGCGCGUAGGCGGUUUUUUAAGUCUGAUGUGAAAGCCCACGGCUCAACCGUGGAGGGUCAUUGGAAACUGGAAAACUUGAGUGCAGAAGAGGAAAGUGGAAUUCCAUGUGUAGCGGUGAAAUGCGCAGAGAUAUGGAG
rnacentral:rRNA from 1 species